rnacentral:rRNA from 1 species
GACGAACGCUGGCGGCGUGCUUAACACAUGCAAGUCGAACGGAAAGGCCUUUUCUGAGGUACUCGAGUGGCGGACGGGCGAGUAACACGCGGGUGAUUUGCCUUGCACUCUGGGAGAAGCCUGUGAAACUGGGUCUAGUAACGGCUAGGAACGCGCUUCAGCUUGUGGGGUGGGAAGGUUUUUCGGUUGGGGAUGGGCCCGCGGCCUAUCAGCUUGUUGGUGGGGGAGUGGCUUACCAUGGCGGCGGCGGUAAGCCGGACUGAGCGGGUGGCGGUCAACGUUGGGAUGGGGUACGGGCCAGAAUCCCUCGGGGGGCAACAAGGGGGAAUAAUUCACAAUGGGCGCGAGCCUGAUGCAGCGAAGCCGCGGGGGGGAUGAAGGGCUUCCGGUUGUAAACUCCCUUCGCCAGGGAAGAAACGGUGUGUGACGGUACCUGGUGAAGAAGCACCGGCUAACUACGUG